rnacentral:rRNA from 1 species
CCUACGGGUGGCAGCAGUGAGGAAUAUUGGUCAAUGGACGCAAGUCUGAACCAGCCAUGCCGCGUGCAGGAAGACGGCUCUAUGAGUUGUAAACUGCUUUUGUACGAGGGUAAACGCAGAUACGUGUAUCUGUCUGAAAGUAUCGUACGAAUAAGGAUCGGCUAACUCCGUGCCAGCAGCCGCGGUAAUACGGAGGAUCCGAGCGUUAUCCGGAUUUAUUGGGUUUAAAGGGUGCGUAGGCGGUUUGAUAAGUUAGAGGUGAAAUGUCGGGGCUCAACCCCGAAACUGCCUCUAAUACGGGUAGACUAGAGAAUAGUUGCGGUAGGCGGAAUGUAUGGUGUAGCGGUGAAAUGCUUAGAGAUCAUACAGAACACCGAUUGCGAAGGCAGCUUACCAAACUAUAUCUGACGUUGAGGCACGAAAGCGUGGGUAGCAAACAGGAUUAGAUACCCUUGUAGUC